rnacentral:rRNA from 1 species
UGGCGGACGGGUGAGUAAUGUCUGGGAAACUGCCCGAUGGAGGGGGAUAACUACUGGAAACGGUAGCUAAUACCGCAUAACGUCGCAAGACCAAAGAGGGGGACCUUAGGGCCUCUUGCCAUCGGAUGUGCCCAGAUGGGAUUAGCUAGUAGGUGGGGGAAGGGCUCACCUAGGCGACGAUCCCUAGCUGGUCUGAGAGGAUGACCAGCCACACUGGAACUGAGACACGGUCCAG